GUGCUCGCCUUGGCAGCACAUAUACUAAAAUUAGAACAAUAUAGAGAAGAUUAGCAUGGCCCUGUGCACAGAUGACAUGUAAAUUCAUGAAGCAUUCCAUAUUUUU
ensembl:snRNA U6 U6 spliceosomal RNA